UACGCGUGUAGCACGUGCUGCACGUUUUGCUCGGUGUACAUACAAGAAGCUGUCACUGAGAUUUGUCUAUUUCACUGAGCAGAAACGUCACCUUUGGACCAGUGGAUUUCACUUCCAGUAGCUGGGCGUCGUUUUUGGAGGUCCAGCUAUAUAAACCCAAGUGACCAUUGAGGUCAACAAACAAUUUUUUCUUCUGAAAAGAAACAACACACACAACAACUUUGAAAUGAAGGUGUUCGCUGGUUUGGUCGCCAUUGUUCUCGGUAUGCUGGUGUCGUACUCCGACGCCUGUUGUUGUCAUCACGGCAGCCACAGCAGCCACCACAGCAGGCACGGCAUCCCAAUCCCCAUCCCCUACCCAAUGGGCGGCAGCAGCGGCGGCAGCCACUCCGCCAACAUCCCCCUCAUCAUCACAACAACAGGAAAAUAAACACGGGUAUUCCUGUUACCAUGGUUACUGCAUGUACCGAAGUUCUCAGGUCCAUACAUACAGACCCGGGUAUUUCCAUCUAGAGCUAUGCCGUUUAUUUUAUGUUGUUUGUUAUGAUCUCGUGAAUAAACUACUUAAAAGUCA